rnacentral:rRNA from 1 species
UGCAUGUCUAAGUACACGCCCUAGCAAGGCGAAACCGCGAAUGGCUCAUUAAAUCAGUUAUGGUUCCUUAGAUCGUACACGACUACUUGGAUAACUGUGGUAAUUCUAGAGCUAAUACAUGCAGCUGAGCCCUCGACCUUCUUGGGAGAGGGUGCUUUUAUUAGACCAAGACCGGACGGGCUUGCCCGAUAGUCGUGGUGACUCUGGAUAACUAUGGCGGAUCGCACGGUCUUCGUACCGGCGACGCAUCUUUCAAGUGUCUGCCUUAUCAACUGUCGAUGGUAGGUUAUGCGCCUACCAUGGUUGUUACGGGUAACGGGGAAUCAGGGUUCGAUUCCGGAGAGGGAGCCUGAGAAACGGCUACCACAUCCAAGGAAGGCAGCAGGCGCGCAAAUUACCCACUCGCUGUCCGCGGAGGUAGUGACGAAAAAUAACAAUACGGGACUCUAUCGAGGCCCCGUAAUUGGAAUGAGUACACUCUAAACCUUUUAACGAGGAUCUAUUGGAGGGCAAGUCUGGUGCCAGCAGCUGCGGUAACUCCAGCUCCAAUAGCGUAUAUUAAAGUUGUUGCGGUUAAAAAGCUCGUAGUUGGAUCUCAGUCGUGCCCUCGUCGAGAUGCCGCAAGGCAUGCUUUGGCAGGGUCGGCAGCACGUCGGUCGCCUCGAUUGGCCUUAAAAAGCUGACCGGGUUGUCCGACACUUUUACUUUGAAAAAAUUAGAGUGCUCAAAGCAGGCCGAGGCCUGUAUACUGGUGCAUGGAAUAAUGGAAUAGGACCUCGGUUCUAUUUUGUUGGUUUUUGGAUCCCGAGGUAAUGAUUAAGAGGGACAGACGGGGGCAUUCGUAUUGCGGCGCUAGAGGUGAAAUUCUUGGACCGCUGCUUAAAGGAAUUGACGGAAGGGCACCACCAGGAGUGGAGCCUGCGGCUUAAUUUGACUCAACACGGGAAAACUUACCCGGCCCGGACACCGGAAGGAUUGACAGAUUAAUAGCUCUUUCUUGAUUCGGUGGGUGGUGGUGCAUGGCCGUUCUUAGUUGGUGGAGUGAUUUGUCUGGUUAAUUCCGAUAACGAACGAGACUCUAGCCUACUAAAUAGACCCUACAUCCUUGGUAUGUAGAGCAGGUCUUCUUAGAGGGACAGGCGGCUUUUAGCCGCACGAAACAGAGCAAUAACAGGUCUGUGAUGCCCUUAGAUGUCCGGGGCCGCACGCGCGCUACACUGAAGGGAUCAGCGUGUGUCUACCCUAGUCCGAAAGGACCGGGUAACCAGGUGAACCCCCUUCGUGAUGGGGAUAGGGGAUUGUAAUUAUUCCCCUCGAACGAGGAAUUCCCAGUAAGCGUGAGUCAUCAGCUCGCGUUGAUUACGUCCCUGCCCUUUGUACACACCGCCCGUCGCUACUACCGAUUGAAUGAUUUAGUGAGGUCUUCGGACUGGUUCAACGAGCGGUUACGGCCGUUCACUGCGUCGGGAAGAUGACCGAACUUGAUCAUUUAGAGGAAGUAAAAGUCGUAACAAGGUUGCC